rnacentral:rRNA from 1 species
UACGGAGGGUGCGAGCGUUGUCCGGAAUUACUGGGCGUAAAGGGCGCGUAGGCGGCCUGCUAAGUCGAACGUGAAAUCCCCGGGCUCAACCCGGGAACUGCGUCCGAUACUGGCAGGCUCGAAUUCGGGAGAGGGAUGUGGAAUUCCGGGUGUAGCGGUGGAAUGCGUAGAGAUCCGGAAGAACACCGGUGGCGAAGGCGGUCUGCUGGGCAGUUGCUGACACUGGAGGCGCGACAGCGUGGGGAGCGAACAGG